rnacentral:rRNA from 1 species
GAUGAACGCUGGCUACAGGCUUAACACAUGCAAGUCGAGGGGAAACGCCGGGGAAGCUUGCUUCCCCGGGCGUCGGCCGGCGCACGGGUGAGUAACGCGUAUCCAACCUGCCUCUGACUGAGGGAUAACCCGUCGAAAGUCGGCCUAAUACCUCAUGGUAUCGUCUGCGGGCAUCCAACGACGAUUAAAGAUUUCAUCGGUCAGGGAUGGGGAUGCGUCUGAUUAGCUUGUUGGCGGGGUAACGGCCCACCAAGGCUACGAUCAGUAGGGGUUCUGAGAGGAAGGUCCCCUACAUUGGAACUGAGACACAGUCCAAAAUCGUACGGGAGGCAGCAGUGAGGAAUAUUGGGCAAUGGGCGAGAGCCUGAAACAGCCAAGUAGCGUGCAGGAAGACGGCCAUAUGGGUUGUAAACUGCUUUUAUGCGGGGAUAAAGUGAGGGACGUGUCCCUCAUUGAAGGUACCGAAUGAAUAAGGACCGGCUAAUUCCGUG